GGGGAGGAACUGGGUCUUACUGCCCGUGCCACAGACGCCUGUCCUGUUUGCUGCUCUGAAGUUGCUCCUGACCAGUACUGGUAAAGUUCUGCGGCCAAGGUUACAAGAUCACCUGCUCUUUCACGCAGACUACUGCUUUCUAUUCCUGACCACAGCCGUCAUGCCCAGAGGAAAGAAGAGUAAGGCCCGUGCUCGUGAGAAACGCCGCCAGGUCCAGGAUGAGGCCCAGGGGCUAACAGAUGCUCAAGCCAAGGCAGGAGAGAAAGGAGAGUCACCUGCCUGCUCUGAUCAUGAGUCUGGAAAUGCUGUUGCAAGCACCUCUACUGCUGGCUUCCAAAAGGGCAGAGUAUCUACCACCUCUGCUGGUAAAGGCAUGGCCUGCAAAAGGUCUGGAAAAGGUGCAAAUGGCCAAGAAGAGAAAAAUGGUAGUUUUUGUAGGGCCCCACUCUCCUCCAGUGGCAAAAGAAUGGAUCUUCUAUCAAGGAAAACAGGAAUGCUGGUAGAGUACAUGCUCUACAAGUACAAAAUUAA